ACAAAGAAAAUAAUAAGAGAUGGAAAUUAAAAACAGAGUGAGAAGGACAUUCGACCAAAGAAAAAGAAGAGGAGAGAAAAGUGAUUCGGCUCGGCAGAGAAGAAAGAGAAGAGAAAAGGGAUUUGGCAAGGAGGGGAUUCGGCCACAACAAAUAAAAAGGAAAAAAGAAAAGUAAAGAGAAGAAAAUGAAAUAAAUGAGCAAACCCAAGAGUAACUUCCAGUACUUGGCAAAAUUUGACACCAAAACUAAAACGUGAAACCCGAACUCACAAAAAUCGAAACAGACUAAGAGAGAAACUCAAAAAAAACCAAAACCGAAUACCUUAAGUGAUAAAUGAUCAAAUUCCGCAUAACCACCCUCCCAAAUCAAAUUCCUUGAUUUCCUCCCCAAAUGUCUUCCCUUAUCCCUCCUUGAGUCGCUCCACCUAUUUCUCCUCAAC
rnacentral:lncRNA from 1 species